rnacentral:rRNA from 1 species
UCGGGAAUUUUGGGCAAUGGGCGAAAGCCUGACCCAGCAACGCCGCGUGAAGGAUGAAGUCCUUCGGGAUGUAAACUUCGGAAGAAUGGGAAGAAUAAAUGACGGUACCAUUUUUAAGCCCCGGCUAACUCCGUGCCAGCAGCCGCGGUAAUACGGAGGGGGCAAGCGUUGUUCGGAUUUACUGGGCGUAAAGGGCGCGUAGGCGGCGUGACAAGUCACUUGUGAAAUCUCCGGGCUUAACUCGGAACUGCCAAGUGAUACUGUCGUGCUAGAGUGCAGAAGGGGCAAUCGGAAUUCUUGGUGUAGCGGUGAAAUGCGUAGAUAUCAAGAGGAACACCAGAGGCGAAGGCGGAUUGCUGGGCUGACACUGACGCUGAGGCGCGAAAGCUAGGGUAGCAAACGG